UAGUUUUCAACUGUUUCUUCCAUGACUUGCUUGUGCCCGAAGUUUCUAAGCACCUCGUGGCCUCAAAGUGCCGUAUGACAGGGGUUUUCGUGAUGUAGUGUUGAUGAGUUGGAGUGCACCUGUACCUGCUCUGUAAGGAUCGACACCGGAUACAUCGUGCCGUGUCUCUCCAUUUCCUUUGCCGAGGCACAAUCUGCAUUUCUUCUGUGGUUGAGUGGAAUAAUACUUGUAAAUUUGGAAUAGAGGAAUCCAUAACAUUGCGGAGGACGGGUUCGUGAGGGCAUGUAUGUUCUGAGUGCCGUGUUUGCACUAGUUUUCUUCGGAUCGUACUUCUGUCCGGACAUUGAGAUAUGUAUUUGUAGAGUAGAUCGAUCUGGUGCGUGCUUUGGCGAGUUACGAUUGAGUAAAUCUGCCAAUUCAAACAAUGGGUUCCACGAGUAAGGUAUCCGCAGGAGACGGUGGUGCCGUACUUGAAGAUGUACCGCACCUUACUGACUGGCUUCCCGACCUGCCGACAUACGAAAAUCCAUUGAAGCACAAUCCAGCAUACGCGGCCGUGAGGCAGUAUUUUAUCGAGGACACAGAUGUCGUUGCCAAAGAUGUGGUAGUAAAUAUCAACACUGCUGGGGAUGGUGUUCAUUUCAGACGUGCAGGACCUCGUGAUAAGAUAUACUUCCAGUCGGAGGAUGUGAAGGCAUGCAUUGUAACUUGUGGAGGAUUAUGCCCCGGAAUCAAUACUGUGAUUCGUGAGAUUGUCUGUGGUCUGUGGACGCAAUAUGGUGUGCGCGAAAUCUUUGGUAUUGAUGGAGGAUACAAAGGAUUUUACUCUCGGAACACAAUCUCUCUCAAUCCUAAAGUUGUGAGUGAUAUUCAUAAACGAGGAGGCACGUUUUUGAAAUCUUCACGUGGUGGACACGACACCAAAAAAAUUGUUGAUUCUAUUGAAGACCGUGAAUUCAAUCAGGUUUAUAUUAUUGGAGGUGAUGGCACUCACAAAGGGGCUUCCGCUAUCCACGAGGAGUGCAAGAAGAGGGGUCUGAAGGUUGCGGUUGCGGGCAUUCCCAAAACAAUCGAUAAUGAUCUCGAUGUCAUAGACAAAUCAUUUGGUUUUGAUACCGCAGUUGAAGAAGCACAGCGUGCAAUUAAUGCUGCGCACGUGGAAGCUGAGAGUGUUCAUAAUGGCAUUGGAUUGGUCAAGCUUAUGGGACGAUACAGUGGUUACAUUGCUUUGUAUGCCACUCUUGCAAGUCGUGAUGUGGACUUAUGCUUGAUUCCAGAAGUGCCGUUCUACUUACUCGGGCCAGGUGGACUGAUCGAGUAUGUUCACCAUAGAUUAAAAGAAAAUGGUCACAUGGUCAUCGUGGUGGCUGAGGGUGCUGGACAAGAAUUGAUCGCUGAGAGCAUGGGGUCUUUCAAAAAUCUCAAUGAUGCAUCUGGAAAUAAAUUACUUCUUGAUGUCGGUUUAUGGCUCUGUCAAAAUCUGAAGGAACAUUUUCUCAAGGAAUUUAAGGAGCCGCUGAACUUGAAAUACAUAGAUCCAACGUACAUGAUUCGAGCUGUUCCAAGCAAUGCUUCUGACAACGUGUACUGCACUUUGCUUGCUCAUAGCGCCAUCCAUGGAGCUAUGGCAGGGUAUUGCGGUUUCACUGUUGGACCUGUUAACGUCAGACAUUGCUAUAUCCCAAUACCACGAGUGGUGGCGAAGUCGCGACACGUAAACGUAGCUGAUCGCAUGUGGGCGCGGCUAAUGUCAUCAACCAACCAACCAAGCUUUUCUCAAUACAACGAAAUAAUUAUACAGAAGCGUCAAGAGGAAGCUUUGAGGGGAGGUGGUGCACCAACAUCUGCAAACGGCACCACCACAAUGAAAGCCAAUGUUGAUGAGCACUCGCACGAAGUUACAGCCGAGAAACCAACCGAUGUAAUUGAAACCGGCAACAGACAAGGAUUUCCGAAGGAUCAGACGGAGAUUUCCACACAAACGACGCCUGCGGAGGCAUAGCAGCUUCGUGAUCGGAAAGCUCCUCGACUUUUCGCCACGACGUUCUUUCGUUUAUAAGCGGAAAUCCGCGCAAUUUAGAUCGUAGAUAAUCCACUUUCCUGCUAGAAAGUACUAUCUUUCCUCCUUAACUUUCUUGUUGGUUCAAAUAAGUGGGUCAUGAGUAAAUUGUAGUGAUCACAAACUACACGAGAACCAGUUGAUAGCGGCUGUGUAAACAUCAAAUUGGCAUAUGUGAUUGGCAACUGCGUAGAUUAGAAAUUUUAUAUGAACUUAUUUGAAUUAUUUUAAAGUUUGACAUUUAAUGUAUGCAAAAACAUGAAAUUACUUCAAAUUUAAUAUAGUUUUGUUCCUCUGGAUCAAUUAACACUA